rnacentral:lncRNA from 1 species
CGACCACCAUCCAGGCCUCCUUGCUCACCUUGGAGAUGCAGAGGAGGAGGAGCCGCGCCUGCGGGAGCUCUCCACGGAGGAGGAGAUUUCGUGGCGGUGGUGCGGAGCGUACGGCAGUGGAGGGGCUGGAGAGACCGGGCCCACAUCGCUGAAGCAGUGGGCGUGGAGCAGGGGAGGAUGAGGGCGAUGGGCAUGAGGGAAGGAGCAGCGAGGUCGGAGUUCCAGGGGAUGCCGGCCGUCGUCACAUGUCCCCAGUGUAGGUUGCCCAUCUGCGGCCAGAGUUAUCUUCCUCCCCAGUUUUCACUCCUCGAUUUAUUGUUUUUCUAAACAUAUGUGUGCAGAUCUGAGGAACAAAAAGAAGGGGAUGAAUCUUGAGGAAGAGCUUGGCUAAGAACAAGGUGAUAUCUCUCUCUCUCUCCAUCCCUCUCAAUUUAAAUCCAGUUUCAUGUUCUUUCCUCCCCAGUUUUUGAUUUAUUGUUUUUUUAAACAUAUGUGUGCAGAUCUGAGGAACAAAAAUAAGGGGAUGAAUCUUGAGGAAGAGCUUGGAUAAGAAC